UAGGGAAUCUUCCGCAAUGGACGCAAGUCUGACGGAGCAACGCCGCGUGAGUGAAGAAGGAUUUCGGUUCGUAAAACUCUGUUGUUAGAGAAGAACAGCGCAUAGAGUAACUGUUAUGCGUGUGACGGUAUCUAACCAGAAAGCCACGGCUAACUACGAGCCAGCAGCCGCGGUAAUACGUAGGUGGCAAGCGUUGUCCGGAUUUAUUGGGCGUAAAGCGAGCGCAGGCGGUCAAUUAAGUCUGAUGUGAAAGCCCCCGGCUCAACCGGGGAGGGUCAUUGGAAACUGGUUGACUUGAGUGCAGAAGAGGAGAGUGGAAUUCCAUGUGUAGCGGUGAAAUGCGUAGAUAUAUGGAGGAACACCAGUGGCGAAGGCGACUCUCUGGUCUGUAACUGACGCUGAGGCUCGAAAGCGUGGGUAGCAAACAGG
rnacentral:rRNA from 1 species